rnacentral:rRNA from 1 species
CUGCUGCCUUCCGUAGGAGUUUGGGCCGUGUCUCAGUCCCAAUGUGGCCGUCCACCCUCUCAGGCCGGCUACUGAUCGUCGCCUUGGUGGGCCUUUACCCCGCCAACCAGCUAAUCAGACGCGGGUCCAUCCCAUACCACCUUGGUUUUCAAACAAAAAGCAUGCGCUUUCUGUUGUUAUGCGGUAUUAGCACCUAUUUCUAAGUGUUAUCCCCCUGUAUGGGCCAGGUUACCCACGCGUUACUCACCCGUCCGCCACUAAGCCUUUCCCUUUUCCGU